UCAAGUGAGUCAUCAAAAAUGUGUUAAAAAUGUCACAGUAUAGUAUGGUGUCAAAAACAGUCAAAAAAUGGCACAUUCAAGUGAGUCAUCAAAAAUGUGCUAAAAAUGUCAUAAUAUAGUAUGGCGUCAAAAAAUGGCAUAGUAUAGUAAGGCAUGAAAAAUGGUCAAAAAUCUCAUAGUAUAGCAUGGGGUCAAAAAAUGUCAUAGUAUAGUAAGGUGUCAAAAACAGUCAAAAAAUGGCACAUUCAAGUGAGUCAUCAAAAAUGUGCUAAAAAUGUCACAGUAUAGUAUGGUGUCAAAAACAGUCAAAAAAUGGCACAUUCAAGUGAGUCAUCAAAAAUGUGCUAAAAAUGUCAUAAUAUAGUAUGGCGUCAAAAAAUGGCAUAGUAUAGUAAGGUGUCAAAACCGGUCAAAAAAUCAUAUAUUCAAGUGCGUCAUCAAAAAUGUGCUAAAAAUGUCAUAAUAUAGUAUGGCGUCAAAAAAUGUCAUAGUAUAGUAAGGUGUCAAAAACAGUCAAAAAAUGGCACAUUCAAGUGAGUCAUCAAAAAUGUGUUAAAAAUGUCACAGUAUAGUAUGGUGUCAAAAACAGUCAAAAAAUGGCACAUUCAAGUGAGUCAUCAAAAAUGUGCUAAAAAUGUCAUAAUAUAGUAUGGCGUCAAAAAAUGGCAUAGUAUAGUAAGGCAUGAAAAAUGGUCAAAAAUCUCAUAGUAUAGUAAGGUGUCAAAAACAGUCAAAAAAUGGCACAUUCAAGUGAGUCAUCAAAAAUAUGCUAAAAAUGUCAUAAUAUAGUAUGGCGUCAAAAAAUGGCAUAGUAUAGUAAGGCAUGAAAAAUGGUCAAAAAUCUCAGUA